ensembl:lncRNA
GUAUUUCGUUGCAUGUGACAGAAAACUCAAAAAGAAAAGAAAGAAAGUGAAGUUGCUCAGUCCUGUCUGACUCUUUGCAACCCCAUGGACUGUAACCCACCAGGCUCCUCUGUCCAUGGAAUUUUCCAGGCAAGAGUACUGAGGAGACCCAACUAGCAAACUAUCAGAAAUAAUAACAGAGCUCAACAGUGUGACCAGAAACGAGACAGACAGACAGCCUUCAGCCUUAGACCGAAUAUUAAAUGAUUGAAGAAAUUCAUUGCUAUCACACUGUCUUGCAAAUAUACUAAAGGAGUUUUUCAGAAUGAAAGGAAAUGACUACAGAUAGCAGAAAAUGAUGAGUACCAGAAAUGAUAAAUCGUGAG